rnacentral:lncRNA from 1 species
UCAUUCAGUGUGAUUAGUCAAAUCAGGUAAUCAUUAAUGGCUACUUAAUACAUUUAAUGACUGUAUCGAAGACAAAUAUAUUGCACUUAUUGGUGAUUAGUUGAUUACAUUGCACAAAGAGAUACCGUAUUAAUGAAUAAUUAAGGGGUUGAAGGAUGGGGCGGCCUAUAAAUACAAGGUUAAAUGUCCAAGUAAAGAUAUAUUAUUCCCAAUUAUUAUCAUAUUACACUAAAGCAAUAUCGCUGACUUGAGCGUCGGAGUGUCUUUUAUCGGUACUCUCCCCCUCGACUCGUACUUGAAGAAUUAGGAGCAGGAAGAUCAUAAGUCGGAAGACAAAGAGAGUAAUAGAAGAAAGGUAUGUUUCCAGGCCCUACAAAAUAUCCCCGAAACAUUUUGGCACCCACCGUGGGGCCGAGGGGCAUUCCAA